rnacentral:rRNA from 1 species
UACGAAGGGGGCUAGCGUUGCUCGGAAUCACUGGGCGUAAAGCGCACGUAGGCGGACUCUUAAGUCGGUGGUGAAAGCCUGUGGCUCAACCACAGAAUUGCCUUCGAUACUGUUUGGCUUGAGUUUGGUAGAGGUUGGUGGAACUGCGGGUGUAGAGGUGAAAUUCGUAGAUAUUCGCAAGAACACCAGUGGCGAAGGCGGCCAACUGGACCAAUACUGACGCUGAGGCGGCGAAAAGCGUGGGGAGCAAACAGGG